UGACGGCGGGUAUCCUUGUCCGCCCGCAC
rnacentral:sRNA from 1 species